rnacentral:rRNA from 1 species
AUUGAACGCUGGCGGCAGGCCUAACACAUGCAAGUCGAACGAGUGGCGGACGGGAGAGUAAUGUCUGGGAAACUGCCUGAUGGAGGGGGAUAACUACUGGAAACUGUAGCUAAUACCGCAUACCAGAGGAUGUGCCGAGCUGGGAUUAGCGAGUAGGUGGGGUAAAGGCUCACCAAGGCGACGAUCCCUAGCUGGUCUGAGAGGAUGAACAGCCACACUGGAACUGAGACACGGUCCAGACUCCUACGGGAGGCAGCAGUGGGGAAUAUUGCACAAUGGGCGAAAGCCUGAUGCAGCCAUGCCGCGUGUAUGAAGAAGGCCUUCGGAUUGUAAAGUACGUUCAGCUGGGAGGCGUUACCCGCAGAAUAAGCACCGGCUAACUCCGUGCCAGCAGCCGCGGUAAUUC